GGAGAGGUGCCAGAGCGGUUGAAUGGGCCGGUCUCGAAAACCGGUGUCCCGAUGCCUUCGGGACCGCGGGUUCGAAUCCCGCCCUCUCCG
rnacentral:tRNA from 1 species